CACGUAGGGUGCGAGCGUUGUCCGGAAUUAUUGGGCGUAAAGAGCUCGUAGGCGGUGUGUCGCGUCGGCCGUGAAAACCUGUGGCUUAACCAUGGGCUUGCGGUCGAUACGGGCAUCACUGGAGUUCGGCAGGGGAGACUGGAAUUCCUGGUGUAGCGGUGAAAUGCGCAGAUAUCAGGAGGAACACUGGUGGCGAAGGCGGGUCUCUGGGCCGAUACUGACGCUGAGGAGCGAAAGCGUGGGGAGCGAACAGG
rnacentral:rRNA from 1 species